UCCAGUUGGUUGGUCAUGUUUGUCCGAGUUCGCCGAGGCCCAAUCCCUGGUGUCGCGAGACGACAUUUGCCGACCAGAGUAACAUGGUGAACGGGGCAUUGGUUCUCACGUUUCCCUCGCCCAUGUUUUACCGGUAAGCUUUCUACACCGAAGAAAACACCACAAAAAACAGACCAAACAAUACGGCUUUCUGAGGCGAUUGAGGGAAUGAUGUUAUGCAGUGGUUGAUCAGUGGAUAAGAUAUUGGACUACCGAUCAGAAGGUUGUGAGUUCAAAUCCCAAUGCUGCCACUGUUGGGCCCUUGAGCAAGGCCCUCAACUGCUCAGUUGUAUAAAUGAGAUAAAUAAUGGAUGCCGUGACACCCUGGCCCUUCUGUGCAGUGAGUUGUCUUUCAACGGGAGUAGCUGGGCACCCUGUGGUGGCACAACUACUCGCCUCAAUUCAGGGUGAUGGAAGACUCCACUACCGAGCCAGCCAGCUCUGCUCAUCUUCUCACAUGGACUGCGCCACAUAUCGCACAGAGAAUGAGGGCCACUAAUCGCGUCCAUGGGGAAGGUAAGCCCAUGUGACUCCUCCCCCCUCCAUAGAAAACGGGCCAGUUUGGUUGCUAGGGGGGCCUAGCUAGACUUACUCAGCACAUGGCCUCAAACUCACGAUUCCAGAGGUGGUAGUCAGCUGAAUACACCAACUGAGCUACCCAGGCCCCUGUCUUAUGUAUUUAUUUGAACUAAUAAAUAAAACAGUUUUUAUGCAACUUUACACUUUUACUCCACUAUACUUUGACAGUUACCAGGUGAUAUUUUCGUUUGUAAAUAUUGACAAUGCCCACUGGAAGUUUCUGGUUAGUAGACUAUUUUUAUUGUCUAUAUAUUAAGAAUCCCAUGUAUUUUUUAAACAUUAAUACAUUAAUGAAUAUUUGUUUCUUUACAUUGUUUUCUUGAAAUUUUCAGUACAUCAAAGCUAUCAACCACACAGUAUUUCUGAUAGAUCCUGCAAAAAGUUUCACAGAGGAAGCUGAAUCCAGCCUUGCAGCAAAAAAAAAAAAAAAUCAGUGAAUACUUAAAAAUGAGAAGAACAUGCCAUGGUAAAAUGGAUUGGGUGGACAUAAAAUGGAAAGGAGGGGUUCUGUACCAUCCAAUUCAGCAAGACGGCAGUAGCUGAGGGGUCAUUGUAGUCAUGAUUGCAAGGGCAGUGAUGAAUGCCUUUCCAGUUGAUCCAGUCAUUAGAUUUGGGACAUCCAAAAAGGAAAUGGCACUUGCAAGAAAAACAGUGGCUCUCCAGAGUGUAAAAGCAUCAGUAUUCAAUGUGGAGAACAACUGUGUAAUGUGUUCCAUGUCAAAGCCUGCAGGAUCUGGGCCUCCAAUAGCAAAUUGGAUCCAGUGUGAUACAUGUGAGAGGUGGUUCCAUGAAUAAUACCUGGGCAUGGACACCAAGGACUUUGAAAAGGCAGAGGAAGAGAGCUGGAAUUGCAACUUGUGCCCUUAAAUCCCUCUCCAUUUAAGAAUGUUUGUUAAUUUUUUAAACAAAAGAUCGAAAGGUUAAACAAUAAAGACAAUUUUUCACA